UGGGGAAUAUUGCACAAUGGGCGCAAGCCUGAUGCAGCGACGCCGCGUGGGGGAUGACGGCCUUCGGGUUGUAAACCUCUUUCAGCAGGGACGAAGCGAAAGUGACGGUACCUGCAGAAGAAGCACCGGCCAACUACGUGCCAGCAGCCGCGGUAAUACGUAGGGUGCGAGCGUUGUCCGGAAUUACUGGGCGUAAAGAGCUCGUAGGUGGUUUGUCGCGUUGUUCGUGAAAACCGGGGGGCUUAACCCUCGGCGUGCGGGCGAUACGGGCAGACUAGAGUACUGCAGGGGAGACUGGAAUUCCUGGUGUAGCGGUGGAAUGCGCAGAUAUCAGGAGGAACACCGGUGGCGAAGGCGGGUCUCUGGGCAGUAACUGACGCUGAGGAGCGAAAGCGUGGGGAGCGAACAGGAUUAGAUACCCUGGUAGUCCACGCCGUAAACGGUGGGUACUAGGUGUGGGUUUCCUUCCUUGGGAUCCGUGCCGUAGCUAACGCAUUAAGUACCCCGCCUGGGGAGUACGGCCGCAAGGCUAAACUCAAAGGAAUUGACGGGGUCAUAGCUGUUUUCCU
rnacentral:rRNA from 1 species